rnacentral:rRNA from 1 species
AACGUAGGAGACAAACGUUAUCCGGAGUUACUGGGCGUAAAGGGCGUGUAGGUGGUUUCGUAAGUCUGGCGUGAAAUUUUUCGGCUUAACCGGGAAAGGUCGUCGGAUACUGCGGGACUGGAGGACGGUAGAGGCGUGUGGAAUUCCGGGUGUAGUGGUGAAAUGCGUAGAGAUCCGGAGGAACACCAGUGGCGAAGGCGACACGCUGGGCCGUACCUGACACUGAUGCG